AUCCCAAGGGCCAUGAAAGCAUAAGGCCAGGUCUGCUCAUCUCCCACAAUGUCCUACAACAGCAGGAAUAUUGUACAAGGAGAUGACUUAGGCAGUACUGUGGAUUUUCACAUCACAUGGCGCACCCUCAACUGAAAAUUUGCAUAAAUACCUUUCCAACUAUUCAGUAUUUUCUAAAUAGAACCAAAAUCACAUGAGAAGCAGGGAGGGGCAUUUACAGGAAAGGCAGGUUUGCUUCAUUUGGAUCUCAUGCAAGAAAUGGGAUUAGCACUGUCCACAAAAGUGAGAGCGUGAAUUUCUAAGGGUCUGGUUGAGGAAGUUCCUUAGCACACAUGGAAUGACCUUGAUGCUUUUGACCUGACAAAGGCAGUUAAUGCCAAGAAGCGGCUUUUGUGUCCAUGGCAGGGAGAAGAGACCACUAGUCCCCAUGACACCUCCUCAGGACACCUCCAUGUGAGCUCAAUGAACCAGAGAGAUGCCCACAUGGUAUAGCAAUGAUUGCUGUUGAUGACUGCAACCCCAAAAUCCAGGAGCUACCCUCUUUUUGAGAAGGAGUUUGAGAGGCAGAGAGGAGGCAGGGGAGAAGUGAGUUUAUUUAGAAUUAUCCACUUAAGGUCUUUUUCCCUAGUUGCUCUCAGAGCAUUUUCCAGAGGACACUGCUAUUCUUACUCUGGCUUAUCCCAUGGGGAAAAUGAGGCACACAGCAGUAAGGUGGCUGAGCUGUGGUCAGUGCAAAACCUGGAGAAGGACCUUGCUCUCUGGGAUUUCAGCUAGGUGGUUGCUAUCAGUUAAGUUAUAAGUGAAAUAAAAAUAUAUGUUCUGCUCUCUUUACUUAGAAAUUAUUAUUUCCAGUGAGAAGCAGGUAGAGUCAGUAAUCCCUGCUGCUUCCAUUUCUGUUCCUUACUAGUCUGCCUGUCAAUUCCCUUUUACCAUUUUACAUGUGGUCACUUGAUACCAGCAGCUGUUUUGGGACAUCUCUAUCUGUCACAUCCUUCUUUUAUUUCAGUGUCCAAAAAUGUGAAUGCACCACAAAAAACAAAACAAAACAAAACAAAACAAACCCCACAUUAACAAAACGUGAGUUUCAUCCCAGGUUAAUUUCUAAACACAUCACUUUAAUGAUGUCUAAACUACACAGCACUUGAUGAGCAAAACAUUACUAUCUUCUAGCCACAUUUGUUUUCCCUGUCUCCCAGAGCAUUAUAGUCACCCAGGGAGAACUGCGUGUUCUACUUCGCUGCUGUAAAGCUAUUAUGGGUAUGAAAAGUUCCCAUUAAUCUGCUCCACACAUGGAUGUUUCUGGAUAAAGUUCAGUAGCCAGAUCCCUCUUUCUUUGUGUGCAUCAAACGAAGCAGAAAAAUGCCUCCAAUUUAAAGACACCAAAUGAAUAACCAAAUAGAUGAGAUUAAUUUUUGUUUAAUCCACGUGGGCAGCGAAGCCAAUGGCCAAUGUUUGUGUGUGGACUUCUCCUGGGAGUUCAUUACCAGCCGAGUCUGUAAUAAGUUAAUGCAGAGAUUCCAUGGAAAUAGGGGGUUAAUUAUAUGCAGAGGAUGUUGGCCAAUGUACAGCUUUGAACAACAAAAAUAGCCCAAGUCUUCUGUUUUGGAUGUGGAAUCAAUUAACAAGGUCUAUGACAUGUACCAGAAUUUGUUAAGAUAGUUGUACUAUAGGGAUACUUUAAAAUUUUUUUUUCCUUUUUUAAAUUUUUUUUUUUAAUAAAAAGCUAAAGAAAGUAAGUGGGUAAUGGAAGGCAAGGGAGAGAAAGACAUGAGACUGGUAAUAAAACACUGGACUUUGGCCUGGGGCCAAGGCAGGCUUUUCAAUGGGUCUGAAGUUUGGACGGCAGUUUGAACUAGUUUUCACUGACUGUCCAAAAGGUUAUGCCAUAAUAGAUGGAGAGAAGAGGUUGAUUUUAGUUUACCAACUCCCUUCUCUCUGCUGGCAGGAGUGUUAUGCUGCUGGGAUGCCAUAGUCAUUACACUGACAGAUAACAGCAUGUGGUGCAGCAUGCUGCAGAUUCAACUCCAAAGCUGCAACCUAAAAAAUUCUCCUCGAUGCCGAUUGGCACAAACCUAAUUUUUUUUCCCCUUUCCACAUCUGGUUUUAAUAUAAAAUGUGUCUUUAUAUUUUUUUUUUCCUUGCCACAUCUUCAGAAAUGGCUUCUUAAAAAAAAAUAAAUUAAAAAAAUAGAGUGUUACUCCCCUUCCCCUAUAUUACUAGGUAUAAAAUGAAUUGUAUGUAUGUGUGGUAGUUCAGUAGUGCAGUUUGGGAGCUGAAUAGAGCACAGCAUAUACCUUUUAAAAGGGAUGUUUCACAAAAAAAUGCAGAGGAAGACCAGAUUACUUUUACUUCAGAGCAGUGAAACAUUUUUGGCUGUUACAAGUUUUCAAGGAGCCACUUAAACAGGUAGAAUACAAAUUUGAAAGAAAAAGAUCUGACCCAUUUUCACCCUGUUUUGCUUUAGGACAAGCUCUGGGCAUGUUCCAGGCACUUCUAAGGUCCCUCACUUUUUUUCCCCUCACCCCCUCCUUCCAACUUAGUCUCUAAAUACAUUAGUUUGUUCCUAGAAAUUAUCUUGUUGUUUGUUUUGGAGGGGUUUUUUUUUGUUUUGUUUUGUUUGUUUUGCACACAGAAAUCCUCAGACCAAAGCAAACAGUGCCACAGAAAAAUGUUGCAAUUCAACCCAGUUUUGAGGGAAGUGCCCCUGAUAACUUCUGAGCUCCAAAGAGAAGCAGUGGAGGCUGGGGCCACUGAGUCUCCAUGGAAAUCACAGAGGGCUGGGAGCAUGGUGCUGUAUGCAGAGCAUGAAGCAGGAUACUGUGAAUUUAUUCCUUUACCACUUUUGAAAACCACCAUGUCUGUGUAUGCAGCAUGUGGAUUUUGUCAUGCAAACACCUAUGUUGUUUUAGAUACUCUUAAAUAGGCUUUGAAAGGGAUCUCAAAGAAUACAAGAUAUUGAAGGACUGACUGACACUUUCUUUGUACAGCACAGGACCAUGAGACACAGCUCCUGAACUGCGAGCACUUGUUCUUGCUACAGGCACUAAUUCAGGGAAGCCUAGGUGGCCAUGCCUCCUUGCUCUCCUCUCAGCUCUGCAAAUCAAUGCUAGGUCCUGUCAUUUGGAGGUGUAGCUGCAGAGCAGAGUUCAUGCCAGUGUGUCUUCUGAAGAACAGUUUUGCCUGUUUGGAUUUUUU